AGGCCACUGCUAUCGGAGUUCGAUUAAGCCAUGCGAGUCGAGAGGUGUAAGACCUCGGCAUACUGCUCAGUAACACGUGGACAACCUACCCUGAAGAGGGGGAUAACCCCGGGAAACUGGGGAUAAUACCCCAUAGAUUAUGGAUGCUGGAAUGCUCUGUAGUUAAAAGGUCCGCCGCUUCAGGAUGGGUCUGCGGCCGAUUAGGUUGUUGUUGGGGUAACGGCCCAACAAGCCUGUAAUCGGUACGGGUUGUGGGAGCAAGAGCCCGGAGAUGGAUUCUGAGACACGAAUCCAGGCCCUACGGGGCGCAGCAGGCGCGAAAACUUUACAAUGCGAGAAAUCGUGAUAAGGGAACUCCGAGUGCCCGUAAAAUCGGGCUGUCCGCCAGUGUAAAUAACUGGUGAAGAAAGGGCCGGGCAAGACCGGUGCCAGCCGCCGCGGUAAUACCGGCGGCUCGAGUGGUGGCCACUAUUACUGGGCCUAAAGCGUUCGUAGCUGGUCUGUUAAGUCUCUGGGGAAAUCUUCCGGCUUAACCGGAAGGCGUCUCAGGGAUACUGGCAGACUAGGGACCGGAAGAGGUGAGAGGUACUCCAGGGGUAGGAGUGAAAUCCUGUAAUCCUUGGGGGACCACCUGUGGCGAAGGCGUCUCACCAGGACGGCUCCGACAGUGAGGAACGAAAGCUGGGGGAGCAAACCGGAUUAGAUACCCGGGUAGUCCCAGCUGUAAACGAUGCACGUUAGGUGUAUCGGUGACCACGAGUCACCGAGGUGCCGAAGAGAAAUCGUGAAACGUGCCGCCUGGGAAGUACGGUCGCAAGGCUGAAACUUAA
rnacentral:rRNA from 1 species